rnacentral:rRNA from 1 species
UGCCAGCAGCCGCGGUAAUACGGAGGGUGCGAGCGUUAAUCGGAUUUACUGGGCGUAAAGCGCACGUAGGUGGUUUUGUAAGUUGGAUGUGAAAGCCCUGGGCUUAACCUGGGAACUGCAUCCAAAACUGCAAGGUUAGAGUACGGUAGAGGGGGGUAGAAUUUCCGGUGUAGCGGUGAAAUGCGUAGAGAUCGGAAGGAAUACCAGUGGCGAAGGCGGCCCCCUGGACUGAUACCGACGCUGAGGAGCGAAAGCUAGGGGAGCGAACAGGAUUAGAUA